rnacentral:tRNA from 1 species
AAGGGGAUAGUUAAAUUAUAACAUAAGCUUGUCAAGCUUAAAUUGCCUUAGGCUCCCCUUG